rnacentral:rRNA from 1 species
UACGGAGGGUGCAAGCGUUAUCCGGAAUCAUUGGGUUUAAAGGGUCCGUAGGCGGAUUAUUAAGUCAGAGGUGAAAUCCUGCAGCUCAACUGUAGAACUGCCUUUGAUACUGGUAAUCUUGAAUUUAGUUGAAGUAGGCGGAAUGUAACAUGUAGCGGUGAAAUGCAUAGAGAUGUUACAGAACACCAAUUGCGAAGGCAGCUUGCUAACAUGUAACUGACGCUGAGGGACGAAAGCGUGGGGAGCGAACAGG